rnacentral:rRNA from 1 species
ACUCCUGCGGGAGGCAGCAGUGGGGAAUAUUGGACAAUGGGCGCAAGCCUGAUCCAGCCAUGCCGCGUGAGUGAUGAAGGCCCUAGGGUUGUAAAGCUCUUUCACCGGUGAAGAUAAUGACGGUAACCGGAGAAGAAGCCCCGGCUAACUUCGUGCCAGCAGCCGCGGUAAUACGAAGGGGGCUAGCGUUGUUCGGAUUUACUGGGCGUAAAGCGCACGUAGGCGGACUAUUAAGUCAGGGGUGAAAUCCCGGGGCUCAACCCCGGAACUGCCUUUGAUACUGGUAGUCUUGAGUUCGAGAGAGGUGAGUGGAAUUCCGAGUGUAGAGGUGAAAUUCGUAGAUAUUCGGAGGAACACCAGUGGCGAAGGCGGCUCACUGGCUCGAUACUGACGCUGAGGUGCGAAAGCGUGGGGAGCAAACAGGAUUAGAAACCCGGUAGUCCCA